rnacentral:rRNA from 1 species
GACGAACGCUGGCGGCGUGCUUAACACAUGCAAGUCGAACGGAAAGGCCCCUUCGGGGGUACUCGAGUGGCGAACGGGUGAGUAACACGUGAGUAACCUGCCCUUGACUUCGGGAUAACUUCAGGAAACUGGGGCUAAUACCGGAUAGGAAUCCUUGCUGCAUGGUGGGGGUUGGAAAGCUUCGGCGGUUUUGGAUGGACUCGCGGCUUAUCAGCUUGUUGGUGGGGUAGUGGCUUACCAAGGCUUUGACGGGUAGCCGGCCUGAGAGGGCGACCGGCCACAUUGGGACUGAGAUACGGCCCAGACUCCUACGGGAGGCAGCAGUGGGGAAUAUUGCACAAUGGGCGGAAGCCUGAUGCAGCAACGCCGCGUGCGGGAUGACGGCCUUCGGGUUGUAAACCGCUUUCAGCGGGGGCGAAGCUUGUGGUGACGGUACCUGCAGAAGAAGCACCGGCUAACUACGUG